GAGGAAGCCGGUGCGAAUCCGGCGCGGUCCCGCCACUGUGACCGGGGAGCGAACCCCGCUUGAGGCCACUGUCCGCACGGACGGGAAGGCCGGGGCGAGCAUCGAUCCGGGAGCCAGGAGACUC
rnacentral:ncRNA from 1 species